CAAUAGCGUAUAUUAAAGUUGUUGCAGUUAAAAAGCUCGUAGUUGGACUUCUGCGGGUGGCGGCCGGUCGUGCUCGAAACGGGCGUGAACUUGGCGUGCUGCCCGCAUCUUUGGGGAGAUUGUGCGUGGCAUUAAGUUGUCGUGCAUGGGAUUCUCAUCAUUUACUGUGAAAAAAUUAGAGUGUUUAAAGCAGGCCUUUGCCUUGAAUACAUUAGCAUGGAAUAAUAAGAUAGGACCGUUGUCUAUUUUGUUGGUUUACAGAUGUCGGUAAUGAUUAAUAGGGAUAGUUGGGGGUAUUCGUAUUCAGUUGUCAGAGGUGAAAUUCUUGGAUUUUCGGAAGACGCACGACUGCGAANGNAUUUACNAAGGAUGUUUNCAUUA
rnacentral:rRNA from 1 species